CCAUCCCGACCGGCGCCGCCUCCAUCCCGACCGGCGCCGCCUCCAUAUCAACUUUCUCAGUUCGCGCCACCAUCCUCGACCUUCUUACUCAAGGCAACUGAGGAAGCUCAACAUGUAAAAAAGUUGAUACAAGUUUAUUUUGCUUCUUUCAUCAAAGUUGGAGAUAAGAAAAGGCGUAUCAAAAGAAGAAGUCUUGGUAUUGUGGUUCAUCAUCCUCAAGCUUUGAUGGCGGGGA